rnacentral:rRNA from 1 species
CCAUCUAGAGGAGCCUGUUCUAUAAUCGAUGAACCCCGAUAAACCUCACCAACCCUUGCUAAUUCAGCCUAUAUACCGCCAUCUUCAGCGAACCCUAAAAAGGAGACACAGUAAGCAAAACCAUGGAACAUAAAAACGUUAGGUCAAGGUGUAGCCCAUGGGUUGGAAAGAAAUGGGCUACAUUUUCUAGCAUAGAACACUUACGAAAAUUUUCGUGAAAUCGAAAAUGGAAGGAGGAUUUAGUAGUAAAUUAAGAAUAGAGAGCUUAAUUGAAUAAGGCCAUGAAGCAC